rnacentral:rRNA from 1 species
AUUGAACGCUGGCGGCAGGCCUAACACAUGCAAGUCGAGCGGAUGAAGGGAGCUUGCUCCUGGAUUCAGCGGCGGACGGGUGAGUAAUGCCUAGGAAUCUGCCUGGUAGUGGGGGAUAACGUCCGGAAACGGGCGCUAAUACCGCAUACGUCCUGAGGGAGAAAGUGGGGGAUCUUCGGACCUCACGCUAUCAGAUGAGCCUAGGUCGGAUUAGCUAGUUGGUGGGGUAAAGGCCUACCAAGGCGACGAUCCGUAGCUGGUCUGAGAGGAUGAUCAGUCACACUGGAACUGAGACACGGUCCAGGCUCCUACGGGAGGCAGCAGUGGGGAAUAUUGGACAGUGGGCGAAAGCCUGAUCCAGCCAUGCCGCGUGUGUGAAGGAGGUCUUCGGAUUGUAAAGCACUUUAAGUUGGGAGGAAGGGCAGUAAGUUAAUACCUUGCUGUUUUGACGUUACCAACAGAAUAAGCACCGGCUAACUUCGUG